CAUCCUUGUUUGUAAUUUACGAUGGUCUUGCUCCUUAACGUGAUAUAUAUAUAUAUAUAUAUAUAUAUAUAUAUAUUAUAUAAAUAAAAAUUUACUAACAAAGCUGUCAGCUGCUUCUUGAACUUGCUACUGUCUAUUUACUAUUUUACCUAACUCCAAGGAGGGAGUCACGGACUUGCAACUCUCUCCAUAUCUUCAACUACUUUUUCUAAGUUAUAAAUAGACUGGGCAGAGAGAAGGAUGUUUCUACUGAGAAUCAUGUGAUCAUUGAGGCAAAGAAUUAACCCAAGCAUAACUUCACAUUUAUUAGUUGGACAGAACUGGACUGCACUUCCCACCUGCUAAUAGAAAGAAGAAGGAGCUAGGCCCAACUAUAUAUAACGCUAGCUAACUGCAAAUGGUCCACACAUUCCCUUCAUCUGUAUGUUGUUAAGUUUUGUUUUUGUCAGAUCGAAGAUAACAAUUUUCUUUUCAAUGAGCCAAUCAUAUUUCAUAAGGUAUAUGCUUACAUGUAAUUUACCAAUCAGAUCAGUGUCCACCAAAUUGUAAAACUACUAUGUAUAUUAAUUUGCUCUCCUUUAAUUCUUCGUUUUUUUCUGGUUUA